rnacentral:rRNA from 1 species
CUCCAGACUCCUACGGGAGGCAGCAGUGGGGAAUAUUGGGUAAUGGGCGCAAGCCUGACCCAGCAACGCCGCGUGAAGGAAGAAGGCUUUCGGGUUGUAAACUUCUUUUAAGGGGGACGAACAAAUGACGGUACCCCUUGAAUAAGCCACGGCUAACUACGUGCCAGCAGCCGCGGUAAUACGUAGGUGGCAAGCGUUAUCCGGAUUUAUUGGGUGUAAAGGGCGUGUAGGCGGGAGCGCAAGUCAGGUGUGAAAACUCCGGGCUCAACCUGGAGACUGCACUUGAAACUGGGUGUCUUGAGGGCAGGAGAGGAAAGUGGAAUUCCUAGUGUAGCGGUGAAAUGCGUAGAUAUUAGGAGGAACACCAGUGGCGAAGGCGGCUUACUGGACUGUAACUGACGUCGAGGCUCGAAAGCGUGGGGAGCAAACAGGAUUAGAUACCCUCGUA